rnacentral:rRNA from 1 species
UACGUAGGGUGCAAGCGUUGUCCGGAAUUAUUGGGCGUAAAGAGCUCGUAGGCGGUUUGUUGCGUCGGCUGUGAAAUCCCGAGGCUCAACCUCGGGUCUGCAGUCGAUACGAGCAAACUAGAGUGUUGCAGGGGAGACUGGAAUUCCUGGUGUAGCGGUGGAAUGCGCAGAUAUCAGGAGGAACACCGGUGGCGAAGGCGGGUCUCUGGGCAACAACUGACGCUGAGGAGCGAAAGCGUGGGGAGCGAACAGG